GCCCGUUUAGCUCAUUUGGUAGAGCGCAUGGCUCUUAACCUUGUGGUCUUGGGUUUGAGGUCCAGGGUGGGCG
rnacentral:tRNA from 1 species